rnacentral:rRNA from 1 species
GGCGAGAGCAGUUAACGUUGGAUACCAAAUAGCGGCGGACGGGUGAGUAACGCGUGGGCAACCUGCCUUACAGAGGGGGAUAACAGUGCGAAAGCACUGCUAAUACCGCAUGACAUUCAAGAGUUGCAUGACUUUUGAAUCAAAGGAGAAAUCCACUGUAAGAUGGGCCCGCGUCUGAUUAGCUAGUUGGUGAGGUAAUGGCUCACCAAGGCGACGAUCAGUAGCCGAUCUGAGAGGAUGAACGGCCACACUGGAACUGAGACACGGUCCAGACUCCUACGGGAGGCAGCAGUGGGGAAUAUUGCACAAUGGGGGAAACCCUGAUGCAGCAACGCCGCGUGGAGGAUGAAGGUCUUCGGAUUGUAAACUCCUUUGAUGAGGGACGAAUAAUGACGGUACCUCAAAAACAAGCCACGGCUAACUACGUGCCAGCAGCCGCGGUAAUACGUAGGUGGCAAGCGUUGUCCGGAAUUAUUGGGCGUAAAGGGCGCGUAGGCGGUUCUUUAAGUCAGAUGUGAAAUCCCGAGGCUCAACUUCGGGCGUGCAUUUGAAACUGGAGGACUAGAGUGCANGAGAGGUAAGUGGAAUUCCUAGUGUAGCGGUGAAAUGCGUAGAUAUUAGGAGGAACACCAGUGGCGAANGCGACUUACUGGACUGUAACUGACGCUGAGGCGCGAAAGCGUGGGGAGCAAACNGGAUUAGAUACCCUGGUAGUCCACGCUGUAAACGAUGGAUACUANGG